UCCUUCCCUCCCUCCAUCCCUCCCUCCCUCCUUCCCUCCUUCCCUCCUUCCCUCCCUCCCUCCCUCCCUCUGUCCUUCCUUCCUUUCUUGUCUUGCUCACAUCACCCCUUCUUCCCUCCCUUCUUUAUUUCAGUAAACGUUCCCCAGCUCCUACUGUGCACCAGACAGCUUGCGGAGCGUUGGGGACAACUGGACAGACACAGCCUCCGCCCUUAGGCCCCUGCAGCUGGUGGGGGGGAGUGGGGAGAGGCAGAUUCUCAAGCGCCUUCCAGGAACUGUGGGUGACAAUCUACAAUUACAGCCACCUGCCCCCUUGAGUGACCUGGGGGAGGAGCCCAGGGGCCUUGCCUGUCAGGCUCACUUGUUUGCUCCAGAGGCUUCUCCUGCCUCCCUUUUGGAACCUAAGUCAGCUCAGGUCACCCCUCAGCUCACUCCCAUAGCUCCGCCUCCCUCGGAGACAAAGGCACAGAUUUCCCAAGGCUCCAGAGGAGCCCCUCCCGAGCCCCCACCCCUCUUGCCCCCUCUGCUCAGCCCCGUGGGCUUCUGCAGCUCGCCGGGCGAGUGCCACCUCAGGGCCUUUGAACAUGCUGCUGGCUCUGCAGGCUGCUCUUUCUCCAGUUAUCCUCACGGCCCCUCCCUCACCUCCUUCGCAGUGAAACUUUUGUGACCCAACCUAACAUUGCACCCCCCCACCCCGGCCACUGCUCUAUGUUUCUCCAUAACACUUGACAUUCUAAGUCCUCUCUCAGCUAGUUUAUUCCCUGUCUCCUGCACUAGAGCCUCAGCUCCUCAAGGACAGGGAUUCUGUUUGUAUUGUUAGUGCCCUGUCCCCAGCAGGUGGCACAGUGCCGACACACAGUGGGUGCCCAACGACCGUGACUGGAAUGAAUGGAUUGAUUGAUUGAUUGAUUGCCUCCAGGGCGCCCUGCCUGCUCUAGCUGCCAGUCUGGGCUUAGCCGGAGAAGAGUGUGAAGGGCUGAGGGUGGGCAGUGGCCCUCCCUCCUCCUCUGCCCUCUCCCACCAUGUCAGCCCCAAGGCCUCCACUGCGUCCAGAAGGUGGAGAUUCAGGGAUGUGGAUGCCUCCUCUGCAGCUCUAUUGAGAAGAUUCUAUUCGUUGAACAAAGCUUUAUUUUCCCAGGUAACUCUAGGUGCUGGGAAUGCGGCAGAGAAUAGAACAGACAAACGUUCUUGCCUUUGGGGCGAGAUAACAUAACAAAUAAGUAAAUUACACACCAUAUUAUGUGGGGUUUAGUGGUAUAGAGAAAAGUACAGCUGGGAAAGGGGUGAUGGAGUGGGGAGGGGUACAGUUUUAAGUAAACAUCCGGAAAGGCAUAUCCCUGAGAAGAGACAUGUGAAUAGAGACCUGAGGCUGGUGAAAAGGGAGCCCUGCGGAGAUGUGGGGGAAGAGACUUCUGGGAAAGGAAGCGGCAAGUGCGAAGGCCUGGGGUAGGCAGGACCUGGUGUGUUCUAGGAAUAGCAAGGAGGUGUGAGAGGAGGGGAUAGGAAAUAAGAUCGAGAGGUAGUGGAGGUCUUGAGGCUGCGCCUGAGUUGGGAGACGUGGGAGGGUUUUGAACAGAGGGUUUCACGGGCUGCCGAGUCUGUGAUGCGUGAGGAAAGGGCCAUUUCUCCCCAGCGGAAAAGCCCCUCUCCUGGGCCUUUCAGAGCUCAGCCCUGCCCUCCCGGCUCUCACCCCCGGUGACCCCUGUGGAGGCUGCAGGAAGCUGGCGGCUGCCCCUGACCAGGGCUCAGACAAGGCUGGCAUCAGGAGCCCACGAGCCCCAGGAGCCAGGUGGAGACAGCUCCUCCAUCAGCCCCUCCCCUGAGACCCCCAACCUGCAAGGAGGAGACUGCGGAUGGGCAGGAGGGCAGGUGCCUGGAAGCGGCUGCCCGGCUCCACGCCUAACCCGCGUAACCCAGUGUCACCUUCAGGAACUUUAUCUUUUCCAUUUGGAAAUGCUUUGUGGUCCAGGUUUUUCCCGAGGCAGAAACCCCUGAGGACGUGCACGACACAGCCGGGCAUAAACCGAAACAGUUUCUAAAGUGAAACGACAGAAAUCCUUUCUGUCUCCCUCUGCGCUCCUCAGAUGAUGCUGGGGUGGGGUGUGCCCAAGCUUCAAGCCCCUGAGACUGGCGAGGCGGAAAGGGCCCACCCAGGGUGGGGGGCCCGGUGGGGGCAGUGCCUGCUUCAGCCAGCGUGAGCUAUGUGCUGACACAAAGGCCUGAAUUCCGCAUCUUGCUUCCCUCAGUGCACCCAUUUUGUGCCUAAGCCCUGGCUCGACUGAAGGCCCAGGAGGGAUCCCAGGACAAUGGCGCCCCAGCUCCGGGCACUGACCUCGUGGCCAUGCAUGGACAGGCUCAAUCUCUGCACACCCCACAUCCCGCUACACACACACACACACACACACACACACACAGACACACACACACGCGCGCGCGCGCGCGCGCGCGCACACACACACACACACACACACACACGAGACAAAUUGACCAGAGUCCCCGCCCAGAUAUCUGCAGCCUGCUGCGCAAGGACAGAAGGGUCCUGGCUGCUUGCACACCUCUUGUAAUAAUGGUACUCACUACCCCUCACGGCAGCUGUGUCUGGCUUUGAGCUGCUGGGGUCGCAGGAACGCUUCGCUCUUUCUUCUGCAGAAAGAACGGAAGAGAAAGAGGCUGAGCUGUGGCCUCCGAGAGACCUUGAUUCCACACACACUGCCUAGUCCCACCGCCAGCCCUUUGUCCUUACUCUUCUCUCUGCCCCAAAUGCCCUCCCCGCUCCCAUUCAUACAGUGAUGCUGGACCUUUAGGCACCCGAGGACUGCGGGGAACUGGGACCCUGAAACUUCAUUCCUCGGGGAAGGGAGCAGUGCAGCUGUUACGAGCAUCAAGUGUGGAGUCAGCUGCUUCGUGGCUGCGUGACAUUGGACUUCACAUCUCUGCGCCUCGGUUUCCCUCAGCGUAAGCUGGCCAAGAUGCUCUAAGUGGGAGAAUGGAGAUGUGGGUGGAGAGACUGCCUGGAGAAUGCAGUGUAUGGGACCCAGGAUGAGCUGAAUCACCCUGAGGUCUUGGGGCCUCCCCAGGAGGCAGGGGUUUUGGUCUCCAUGUUCAGCUGAGCUGCCUGCUUUGGGAAUUCGAGGAGGGGGCUGUUUCUCCACGCAGUCCACCUGCUCCAUUCCAGAGCCCCUUACUGUGGACAACUGCAUCUUCCCGGCCUCCUGAUCGGGAGGGGCUCCUCCACCCAGACCCUCUGGCCACUCUCCCUAACUCGUCUUCUGAGUGCCAGUUUCAGGUGCUGGAGAUGCUGGCGUUCCAGGGCCUUCUGGAGUAGCCAGAGGCAUCGGGAGCCUCGGCCCAGAUGCCAGGGAGGGACUGAGACCUGCAGCUGGGUAGGAGGGCUCCCCGGAAGACUCGGAAAUGGCCAGGCCAGGAGUGAAUGUGUGGGGCCUCUCAGGGCCCCCCCAAUGACAACACCCCGCCCGGCCCCCAACCCCAGGGCUCAGACAUCCCCUUCUUGGUCUGACCCCCUGAAGGGGCGUAGGGACACUGGAGCUUGUGCAGAUAGAUGCGCAAGGCCCGGAUCAAGGAAGGGUGAGCUUGGGGCUCUGAGGCACGUGGCCACAGGCCUAGGACUGGAGUUGUGGAGUCUCGGCAGGGGUGUGGCCGGUGGGUCCAGCACCUUCGUGGUGCCGUCCCUCUGGGGGCUUCGGGCCCAUGCCUGUGCCUUAGGCCCCUCCUCAGAAUCUUGGUCUUAAAAGCAUCAAACGACGCCCAGGAUGCCGAAGGAGCCAGUUAUCACAGUGGCUAAAAAGCACGUUUGUGAUAUGUGGAAGGAAACGGUACAUUUCAGCGGUGCCUGGUAGAAAUAGUGAUACUCUUCCCAUCAAACACACGGCCCCGGGUUCCAUCCCUGACAUUCCGCCUGCUCCCGCCCGCCCUGCCAGGAGGAGCGGCGACACCAAUAAUGCCACAGUCAGUGAUGGACGGUGACAAGUGGCACCAUCACUGGUCUUUAUGGGGGCUUUUCGCUGCGCCUCACGGCAGCUGUGUCUGCUCUUCCUGCUUCUUAUCCUCACCACAGCCCUGCAGGGCAGGCACUAGUACGGUCCCCAUUGUGCAGAGAAAGAAACGGAGGCACAGAGAAGUUAAAUGACUCGCCCAAGGUCACACAGCUUGCCGGCUAAUGGAUUCCAGACGGAGGCUAUACGAUUGUCCCCGUGCUGUGGAUGGGCCAGCCUGGUGGGAGGGAUUCCUCCAGCUCUGAACAGAGACCUGCACUGAACCUACUGCCACGAUGCCAGUCGGGGUGGCGCCCCGGGGCCAAGGGAACAGGGGGGCAAAGGUGUGUCAGGACCCUAUAGACCACCGGGGGACCGUGCACGUCCCUCUGACCAGUGGGUCCUCCUGGCCCCUGGCACUAGGCGAGGCUGUCCCCGAGGAGCUUCUGUGAGAUUCAGGUCAUCACAGAAUGUUUAUUAAUCCCACAGACAGGAUGGGGUCGGGCAGCUCCUCAGGGAAUCUGGAGCUGAAGGAGCUGGUCAUGGGAAGGAGUGAGGGGGCGGGUUCAGGACGGCUUUCUGGACCAGCCUCCUGGACAGCUGAGAGCCCCAGAGUGGGGAGUCUCCCUCUCCCCUCAGCUCUGGGCUACUUUUUAAAUGAAUUAAUGUGGCGGUGGGGGGGGGGACGCACAGAACCCUUGAAGGUGGUGUAAAGGCACAACGAACUCACAGAGAGCAGCUCACCUCCCUCCUGUCCCCUAACCUCCCAAUUCUCUUCUUGGGAGCCAGUUUCUGGUGUCUUUCCAGAAGAUUCUAUCCAACACCCUAGGGUGUGUGUGUGUGUGUGUGUGUGUGUGUGUGUGUGUGUGUACGUAUCCUGCUUAAAUAAAAUCCUAAU